rnacentral:rRNA from 1 species
GACGUAGGAUGCAAGCGUUGUCCGGAUUUAUUGGGCGUAAAGAGUACGUAGGUGGUUAUUUAAGUCUAGGGUGAAAGCCCACAGCUCAACUGUGGAUCCGCCUUGGAUACUGGGUAACUUGAGGGUAGCAGAGGAAAGUGGAAUUCCAAGUGUAGCGGUGAAAUGCGUAGAUAUUUGGAGGAACACCAGUGGCGAAAGCGACUUUCUGGGCUAUUCCUGACACUGAGGUACGAAAGCCAGGGGAGCAAACGGG